UAAGAUUUGAAUAAAGUCAGUGUACGCAACGAGUGGAUCCGGAUUAAUAGUAAAAGUUGAGAAUUUGUGUGUACAUAAAUCAUGAAAUUUCGACCAAUCUAUUUUAUUAUAAUUGAGAUUAGCUAGGCAGUGUAUAGAGGGAGUGGUUGGAGCGGCAGAGUGAGUUGAAGACUGCUUAUGGCUCUGCACACAUUCCUUGUAAAACAAACUAACCAGUAGAGGGAAGUGGUUGCUGCUCAUAAGAUCGUCUAAUACUGAAAGUGUACAGCUGGAACUAAUUGAUGGAGAAGCAAAAGCUAAAUCGAGUACAUUGCCUUGUUGACCAAAUGGAGCAAAGAUUUUAGAAAAAACAUUAUUCAGUUGUUGAAUUUGAAAUUUGCCAUUUGGAGGAGGAGGCAAGUAAACACAUAAAAUAUCCAGUGACAAAGAACCAAGAGAAACAGACAAUAAAAUAUUCUGGAAGUCAUAGCAUUUGUCACAAGAGAUGGUAGAGAACUUAUACUUACCUUUAAUAGCAACAGCAACACCACCAUGAGGGCGACUAGAAUCUUGUCGGACUAUGUUAUAACCAGGAAUCCUAAAACAUUUGUCAGGAGUAAGCCAAGUUUCAUUAAGAAGAAUUAUAUCGAUGACAUAAAGAAGAAACAGCAAUGUGGUCUGUGCUCUUGCAGUUAAUACAUUUUAUAUUGGCUUGGUUGUUACACACAUUGAAGAAGUGUUCUCCAGAGCAAAUGGAGCAAACCUGUUUUGAUUUACAUGAAUUUUUACUAUGGCCGAAUUUAUAACAUGUGAAACAUUGUUGUAAAGGUCUCACAUAUUUCUUCACCUCAAACCAUAUAAAAUCAUAAGUUACAUGAUCAGGGGCAGUGGAACUGAGGAAGGUGACCAAAACUGUAGGGGUCCAGUUUUGUAGAGGAGGAUUCAUCAAUGGAUGGGGCCAUAGAAAGCAACACUGGAUAAUCUUUUUUCCCUUCUUCUUUAUAAAUAUGAUUGUAUUCCUUGAACAGUCCUCUUU